UACAGAGGCCACAAGCGUUUAGGCGGAAUCACUGGGCUUAAAGCGUGUGUAGGCGGGUUGGUCAAGUACCUUGUGAAAUCCCACGGCUCAACCGUGGAACUGCUGGGUAUACUGGGUGCCUUGGGUCAUCUAGGGGCUGCCGGAACAAAUGGUGGAGCGGUGAAAUGCGUAGAUAUCAUUUGGAACGCCAACGGCGAAAGCAGGCAGCUGGGGAUGACACCGACGCUGAGACACGAAAGCCAGGGGAGCGAACGGG
rnacentral:rRNA from 1 species